GACGAACGCUGGCGGCGUGCUUAACACAUGCAAGUCGAACGGAAAGGCCCUGCUUUUGUGGGGUGCUCGGGUUGCAAACGGGAGAGUAACACGUGAGUAACCUGCCCCUGACUUUGGGAUAACUUCAAGAAACUGGGGCGAAUACCGGAUACGAGUUCGUGCUGCAUGGUGGGGGGUGGAUAGUUUCGGCGGUUGGGGUUGGACUCGCGGCUUAUCAGCUUGUGGGUGGGGUAGUGGCUUAGCAGGGCUUUGACGGGAAGCCGGCCUGAGAGGGUGACCCGGCACAUUGGGACUGAGGUACGGCCAGGACUGCUACGGGAGGCAGCAGUGGAGAAUAUUGCACGAUGGGCGGCAUCCUGAUGCAGCAACGCCGCGUGCGAGAUGACGGCGUUCGGGUUGUAAACCGCUUUCGGCUGAGACGAAGCGUGAUUGACGGUAAUGGAUAAGCAAGCCACGGCUAACUACGUG
rnacentral:rRNA from 1 species